rnacentral:rRNA from 1 species
AGAGUUUGAUCAUGGCUCAGAUUGAACGCUGGCGGCAGGCCUAACACAUGCAAGUCGAACGGUAACAGGAAGCAGCUUGCUGCUUCGCUGACGAGUGGCGGACGGGUGAGUAAUGUCUGGGAAGCUGCCUGAUGGAGGGGGAUAACUACUGGAAACGGUAGCUAAUACCGCAUAAUGUCGCAAGACCAAAGAGGGGGACCUUCGGGCCUCUUGCCAUCGGAUGUGCCCAGAUGGGAUUAGCUUGUUGGUGGGGUAACGGCUCACCAAGGCGACGAUCCCUAGCUGGUCUGAGAGGAUGACCAGCCACACUGGAACUGAGACACGGUCCAGACUCCUACGGGAGGCAGCAGUGGGGAAUAUUGCACAAUGGGCGCAAGCCUGAUGCAGCCAUGCCGCGUGUAUGAAGAAGGCCUUCGGGUUGUAAAGUACUUUCAGCGGGGAGGAAGGGAGUAAAGUUAAUACCUUUGCUCAUUGACGUUACCCGCAGAAGAAGCACCGGCUAACUCCGUGCCAGCAGCCGCGGUAAUACGGAGGGUGCAAGCGUUAAUCGGAAUUACUGGGCGUAAAGCGCACGCAGGCGGUUUGUUAAGUCAGAUGUGAAAUCCCCGGGCUCAACCUGGGAACUGCAUCUGAUACUGGCAAGCUUGAGUCUCGUAGAGGGGGGUAGAAUUCCAGGUGUAGCGGUGAAAUGCGUAGAGAUCUGGAGGAAUACCGGUGGCGAAGGCGGCCCCCUGGACGAAGACUGACGCUCUGGUGCGAAAGCGUGGGGAGCAAACAGGAUUAGAUACCCUGGUAGUCCACGCCGUAAACGAUGUCGACUUGGAGGUUGUGCCCUUGAGGCGUGGCUUCCGGAGCUAACGCGUUAAGUCGACCGCCUGGGGAGUACGGCCGCAAGGUUAAAACUCAAAUGAAUUGACGGGGGCCCGCACAAGCGGUGGAGCAUGUGGUUUAAUUCGAUGCAACGCGAAGAACCUUACCUGGUCUUGACAUCCACGGAAGUUUUCAGAGAUGAGAAUGUGCCUUCGGGAACCGUGAGACAGGUGCUGCAUGGCUGUCGUCAGCUCGUGUUGUGAAAUGUUGGGUUAAGUCCCGCAACGAGCGCAACCCUUAUCCUUUGUUGCCAGCGGUCCGGCCGGGAACUCAAAGGAGACUGCCAGUGAUAAACUGGAGGAAGGUGGGGAUGACGUCAAGUCAUCAUGGCCCUUACGACCAGGGCUACACACGUGCUACAAUGGCGCAUACAAAGAGAAGCGACCUCGCGAGAGCAAGCGGACCUCAUAAAGUGCGUCGUAGUCCGGAUUGGAGUCUGCAACUCGACUCCAUGAAGUCGGAAUCGCUAGUAAUCGUGGAUCAGAAUGCCACGGUGAAUACGUUCCCGGGCCUUGUACACACCGCCCGUCACACCAUGGGAGUGGGUUGCAAAAGAAGUAGGUAGCUUAACCUUCGGGAGGGCGCUUACCACUUUGUGAUUCAUGACUGGGGUGAAGUCGGAACAAGGUA